rnacentral:rRNA from 1 species
UACGAAGGGGGCUAGCGUUGCUCGGAAUCACUGGGCGUAAAGCGCACGUAGGCGGACUCUUAAGUCGGUGGUGAAAUCCUGGAGCUCAACUCCAGAACUGCCUUUGAUACUGAGGAUCUUGAGUUCGGGAGAGGUGAGUGGAACUGCGAGUGUAGAGGUGAAAUUCGUAGAUAUUCGCAAGAACACCAGUGGCGAAGGCGGCUCACUGGCCCGAUACUGACGCUGAGGCACGAAAGCGUGGGGAGCAAACAGU